GCCUCACGGCCAGAAGCACUGGCGCCGCCUGGGCGCUCCCCCUCCUGCGGAACACAGCCCCUGCCUCCGCCGCCGCCGCCGGAGCUCCAGUACCCGGGAGUCGAGGAUGGACUUGCAGUACAGAGAAGAGAUGGGACAGGCACUGAAGAACCCUGGACUACUUCCCCAACUUGGCAGCAGACCAGCUGCAAAACCUCAGCAGUCAAAGUUCACACUGUCGCCAAUCAGAAGUCUCCUCUGAUCCAAGACCUUCUCAUCUGAUCUGUGGGAAAGUGCAACGUGGCAGAAGCACUCUGGACAUUGUAGGAAAGGAGGGUCAGCCAUAUCCAGUGGUGGCAUCAACGUGUUCUACUGUGGCUCAACUGGGAGCUGGAAAGGAUCAAGAAGUCAGA